GACGAACGCUGGCGGCGUGCUUAACACAUGCAAGUCGAACGGAAAGGCCCUGCUUUUGUGGGGUGCUCGAGUGGCGAACGGGUGAGUAACACGCGAGUAACCUGCCCUUGACUUUGGGAUAACCUCAGGAAACUGGGGCCAAUACCGGAUAGGUGCUCCUGCUGCAUGGUGGGGGUUGGAAAGUUUCGGCGGUUGGGGAUGGGGUCGGGGCUUAUCAGCUUGUUGGUGGGGUAGUGGCUUACCAAGGCUUUGACGGGUAGCCGGCCUGAGAGGGUGACCGGCCACAUUGGGACUGGGAUACGGCCCAGACUCCUACGGGAGGAAGCAGUGGAGAAUAGUGCGAGAUGGGCGGAAGCCGUAAGCAGGAACGCCGCGUGCGGGAUGACGGCCUUCGGGUUGUAAACCGCUUUCGCCUGUGACGAAGCGUGAGUGACGGUAAUGGGUAAAGAAGCACCGGCUAACUACGUG
rnacentral:rRNA from 1 species